UACGUAGGGCGCAAGCGUUGUCCGGAAUUAUUGGGCGUAAAGAGCUCGUAGGCGGCCUGUUGCGUCCGCUGUGAAAUCCCGGGGCUCAACCCCGGGCCUGCAGUGGAUACGGGCUGGCUGGAGGCAGGCAGGGGAGAACGGAAUUCCUGGUGUAGCGGUGAAAUGCGUAGAUAUCUGGAGGAACACCGGUGGCGAAGGCGGCAUCCUGGACCAAUUCUGACGCUGAGGAGCGAAAGCCAGGGGAGCAAACGGG
rnacentral:rRNA from 1 species